ACUGCACACAUGGGAAAUCGAGGUUGGUCAUCUCCAUAGGUCCGUGACUGGAGAGAGUCUUCAUUCGCGAACACUCCACAAUUCGCAAAAGAACUGCAGCAAGUCCUUAUAGCGAAACAACAAGCAGAGAAAUGCUGUGGAAAUGAAAAAUGUGGAGGAAGGGUGCAUCCUUCUAUUCGGUUCUGAUGUCAGUGGAAUCAUACCCCUUUUAUCCUUUCUAGUAGAUUACAGUGCUUCUAAGUCCCCACUCUCCUUGAUGCUGUCUGGGAUUGAGUUUCGGCGAUAAACACCACUAGAGUCGUCAGCUUACACGAACACCAGGACGAGGUGCUGUUACAUUCCAUUCACUCCUUUACCCCCGGUAAACCACUAGGAUGUUAUACAGCGAUAUGUAAACGCAGGUGGUGGUGGUGACUCUUUGUGCAUGAUGCAAGGCGGGAGGUCAUCGCAGAGUCAAGCUCGAAGAUCCACGGAUCAUCCUCCGUCAGAAGACCACCAGAUUGCUCUCCCUGACAAGGAUACCUCGCGAGAAGGAAUUCUGAGCCGCAGAAGUACGUGAUUCUAAAGGUGUCCUACGUGCGAAGGGCAGAUUCAGUGAUGAAUCACUCUUGAGCAUUCCAUGAAUCUCCCUCGCCACCGAGAUCUUCAUCGGGGUGCGCAGCAACAAGGACAGAAGCCAGUGCCGAAAAUCCCUCUCUUUUCCCUCUUUCUCAAUCUCUCUCUUGCUUUCUCUCUCUCUCUCUCUCUCUCUCUCAAUUCUCUGUCUCUGUUUGUCUGCAUGUCUUGCUCGCAAAGGGUGCAAACGACGUUAGCUGCGUGGCAUGAGAAUCUUAUGUCCAGCUAAGGCGCAGUAAUCGAAGUCCAGGUCUGAGGCGCUGCAGGGCAGCCUUGCCGACGCCAGGCAUCCCGCAAGCCUGCAACCCAAUCCACAGCUCAGCCUCCCUUUCGCAAACUCCCGUGGGUGUCUGCCAGUUUUGUCUUUCUGUCUGUCUGUGUAUCAAUCUUUCUUUCUAACUGUCUAUCUGUUCCAUUCCCCCCCUCCCCAUUCGUCUUUGCCCUUCUUUCGUUAUUUCUUUCCUCCUUCCUUCCUUUGCUUGCUUUCUGGUCACACCACUGUCUUGCUUGCAUGCUUUCUCCGUGGUUGUGCUGGGGUUGUGGCCCGUUCUCAUGCUCUCCCUCUUGCUCUUUGAUUCUCUCUCCGUCCCUCCCUCACUCUCUAGGUGAAUGGAUAGGUGAAUGGAUUACAAUAGGAGUUGGGUUCCUUUGUUUAGAAAUGAAAUGCAUGGGAAAUGACCAUAUUAGUUAAAACAAUUACAAAAAUGAACUAAACCAAAAAGUUUUAAGAAAUAGUUAGAAAUGUCAUAGAAAUUAUAGAAAUCAAAAAUAAUAUAAAAAGAAAAGUGUAAAACAUGAAUA